rnacentral:rRNA from 1 species
UGGGGAAUAUUGGGCAAUGGGCGCAAGCCUGACCCAGCAACGCCGCGUGAGGGAAGAAGGCCUUCGGGUUGUAAACCUCUGUCCUUGGUGACGAAACAAAUGACGGUAGCCAAGGAGGAAGCCCCGGCUAACUACGUGCCAGCAGCCGCGGUAAUACGUAGGGGGCGAGCGUUGUCCGGAAUUACUGGGCGUAAAGGGUGCGUAGGUGGCCUUUUAAGUUGGAUGUGAAAUACCCGGGCUUAACUUGGGGGGUGCAUCUAAUACUGGGAGGCUAGAGUGCAGGAGAGGGAAGCGGAAUUCCUAGUGUAGCGGUGAAAUGCGUAGAUAUUAGGAGGAACACCAGUGGCGAAGGCGGCUUUCUGGACUGUAACUGACACUGAGGCACGAAAGCGUGGGGAGCAAACAG